UACGGAGGAUGCAAGCGUUAUCCGGAAUGAUUGGGCGUAAAGCGUCCGCAGGUGGCUAUGUAAGUCUGCUGUUAAAGAGUGAGGCUCAACCUCAUAAGAGCAGUGGAAACUACAUGGCUAGAGUGCGUUCGGGGCAGAGGGAAUUCCUGGUGUAGCAGUGAAAUGCGUAGAGAUCAGGAAGAACACCGGUGGCGAAAGCGCUCUGCUAGGCCGCAACUGACACUCAUGGACGAAAGCUAGGGGAGCGAAUGGG
rnacentral:rRNA from 1 species